UACGAAGGGGGCUAGCGUUGCUCGGAAUCACUGGGCGUAAAGGGUGCGUAGGCGGAUAUGUAAGUCCGUGGUGAAAUCUCUGGGCUUAACCCGGAAACUGCCAUGGAUACUAUGUGUCUUGAAUGUUGUUGAGGUGAGCGGAAUAUGUCAUGUAGCGGUGAAAUGCUUAGAUAUGACAUAGAACACCAAUUGCGAAGGCAGCUCACUAAGCAAAUAUUGACGCUGAGGCACGAAAGCGUGGGGAUCAAACAGG
rnacentral:rRNA from 1 species